rnacentral:rRNA from 1 species
AAACCAGACUCCUACGGGAGGCAGCAGUGGGGAAUAUUGCACAAUGGGGGAAACCCUGAUGCAGCGACGCCGCGUGAGUGAAGAAGUAUUUCGGUAUGUAAAGCUCUAUCAGCAGGGAAGAAAUAGCGACCUUUGGGUCGCCAGACGGUACCUGAUUAAGAAGCCCCGGCUAACUACGUGCCAGCAGCCGCGGUAAUACGUAGGGGGCAAGCGUUAUCCGGAUUUACUGGGUGUAAAGGGAGCGUAGACGGCAGCGCAAGUCUGAAGUGAAAUGCCGGGGCUUAACCCCGGAACUGCUUUGGAAACUGUGCAGCUAGAGUGCAGGAGAGGUAAGUGGAAUUCCUAGUGUAGCGGUGAAAUGCGUAGAGAUUAGGAAGAACACCAGUGGCGAAGGCGACUUACUGGACUGUAACCGACGCUGAGGCAUGAGAGCAUGGGGAGCAAACAGGAUUAGAUACCCGAGUAC